ensembl:lncRNA
CUGCACUGCUGCCCAGAGCCGUUGGCGCUCCAUCCUUGGAAGUGCCCCAGGCCAUGGAUGGACUCUGGGCAGCCUCAGCUGGUGCCCAAUUUAGUGGCAGGCAACCUUGCCUGUGGCAGGGAGUCAGAAUCAGAUUAUUUUUGAGGUCCCUUCCAACCCAACCCAUUCUAUUACUCUCCAAUUUUACAGUUCUAUGAAGUCCUGAUGAAGGUGUUGCUGAGAUACAGCCCCACCUCCGAAGCUGAGGACUCGAAGCGGUGCUUCCACUGCAUCAUCAUCCACAGUGCCGCUGUGAGAGCGUUCGUUUGGGAAGGAUGGAUCUCCAAAGUGCCACAGCAGCAGCCAUGCUCACCCCAAACGGCUCACUCUGCCUGUUGUUACCCAUUUCUCAGGAUUUUCCGUAAUUAAGAAAAUGCCAACAAGUAUCUCAGAAGCCAUUAUCACUCAGAGCUCAGUUAGCAGAGGAUAGAGAAAGUGAAAGCGAGAGGCAGUGCUGCAGUUUUGCCGCCUAGACAGUAGUCUGAUGGCACAGUGCUGUGUUAUAUGGGUCACAUUUUGAGGCCUUAAUCUUAGGGCAAACUCCAGUCCGGGCACCCAGGCAGGCUCUGCUCCGCCGUAGCCAAGUGCCGGGGAAGUGAGGAGGUCCCCUCACUGGUAGGGGUGCACCAGGGGACCUCUGUGCAGUUCUGGGUCCUGCAGUGCAGGCAGACCUGGGCAUGCUGGAGAGAACACUGCCGAGCCACAAAGAUGCUGACAGUGCAGCGUCCGCAGAGUGGAAGAGAAGGGAUCACGUUGCUCUCGGAGAUGAGAACAGAGCAGAGCAAACAGAAGAGCAAACUGUAACCCACAGCCGAACUGCCAGGCAAUACCUCACGGCUCUCCCUGCCCAUCCCUGCACAGCAGCGCGUCCUUCACGCUCCGCGGCCGCCUGGCGAGCCCCGGGACGAGGGCACCCUCUGGAGACAGGAGAAAAGUCAGCAACAAAACUCCCCGCUUCUCGAAUCACUUCUUGGUCACUGCCUUCACGGCUUAGUGCACCCUACGACAUCUGUGCUGCCACAGGACAAGGCAGCCGGGCUGCUCUGGAGACAGCAGAGACUUUAGGGAGCACAGCAGCAUUAGAGUUUGGCAUCUUCCUGCAAAGAAAGGAACGCGCUGAGCCUUUGAAGAGCAAUGCAAGCUGUGAUUUGCAUGCAAAACACUGCUUUGCACCGGUGGGCUGAUGGUGUAAUGGAUGGAACAGCUGCA